GAUGAACGCUGGCGGCGUGCCUAAUACAUGCAAGUCGAGCGAACAGAUGAGAAGCUUGCUUCUCUGAUGUUAGCAGCGGACGGGUGAGUAACACGUGGGUAACCUACCUAUAAGACUGGGAUAACUCCGGGAAACCGGGGCUAAUACCGGAUAAUAUUUUGAACCGCAUGGUUCAAUAGUGAAAGACGGUUUCGGCUGUCACUUAUAGAUGGACCCGCGCCGUAUUAGCUAGUUGGUAAGGUAAUGGCUUACCAAGGCGACGAUACGUAGCCGACCUGGGAGGGUGAUCGGCCAAACUGGAACUGAGACACGGUCCAGACUCCUACGGGAGGCAGCAGUAGGGAAUCUUCCGCAAUGGGCGAAAGCCUGACGGAGCAACGCCGCGUGAGUGAUGAAGGUCUUCGGAUCGUAAAACUCUGUUGUUAGGGAAGAACAAAUUUGUUAGUAACUGAACAAGUCUUGGCGGUACCUAACCAGAAAGCCACGGCUAACUACGUGCCAGCAGCCGCCGUAA
rnacentral:rRNA from 1 species